CUGUCUUGUGCAACAUUAACUAAUUUGCUCGCCAAUAAGAUCGAGACCUACUAGGAGGAAUGUCACUCCUUGGAAAAGAAGGAAGUAAAAGUGGAGUCCAUGAGCAGAUAAAAGGCUUCUCGCUGACGCCGUUAAGAGUAAGAAAGCAAGAGCUAACUCUUUUCUGUAUAUUUUGUUGCUCUUCUUGACAGGUGUAGAAGUUUCAUCUUUCUGUUUGUUCAGUCGGUUCAGCUCAGAAAGUUCACUUUCCGAAGCCCCUCUGCUAAUUUGUGGUGCCCCAAAUGCUUUUAAAUCUUUUUCAGCAGCGGCCAGUAGGUCAGAUUCAGAAGACCUUCCAGCUUUUUUGGUAACAACCCACUCGUACGAGCUUCCCAAUUGGAAAAGUCCAGAUACCAUAGCAUUGAACUUUGUCACUGACAUAGUGUUUUCAAAAAGGAGGUAGGGGGCG
rnacentral:lncRNA from 1 species